rnacentral:rRNA from 1 species
AGAACGAACGCUGGCGGCAUGCCUAAUACAUGCAAGUCGAACGAACACUUCGGUGUUAGUGGCGCACGGGUGCGUAACGCGUGGGAAUCUGCCCUUGGGUUCGGAAUAACAGUUGGAAACGACUGCUAAUACCGGAUGAUAUCGAAAGAUCAAAGAUUUAUCGCCCAGGGAUGAGCCCGCGUAGGAUUAGCUAGUUGGUGAGGUAAAGGCUACACCAAGGCGACGAUCCUUAGCUGGUCUGAGAGGAUGAUCAGCCACA